rnacentral:lncRNA from 1 species
GUAUCCGUCAUACAUUAUCCGAUCAACUCCGUUUCAAGGUAUGUUCUUCCUUGUGCCUUCUAGUCCGUCUUCACCAUUGGGAUUUGAGAGAUAAGCUUAGAAAGCCUCGAACAAAAAGCUAAGUAUUCUUCUCUUACAGUGAUCGCUAGUCAGCCUUGUCCAAAUCAUGAUGCAUUUGAAUAAAAGGGAAUGUCACUACUUGAGACCUUUCAACAUCUUCUAUUGCUUUAUCAUUUUCACUCGCAUUUGGAAGUUUGUUGUGUUGUCAUCUUUAAAAUGUUCGUAUUUAAAUGGAAAGAGUUUGGUCAGAAAUAGGGAGGAGCGUUGCUGAGGACAGCGACCAAUUUGUAGUUUAGAAUUUUUCGAAUAUAAUUGUUGUUAUAGUUUUGUUUAUUGUUAGUGUUAUGAAUUUUGCAUUUAAUAAAAUCCUUGUGUGAUAGUUCUAUAUGUUUUGACUAUGAAUUCUUGACAAGAAUAUUGAGAUUCCCC